AUAGUACCGUGAGGGAAAGGUGAAAAGAACCCCGGGAGGGGAGUGAAAGAGAACCUGAAACCGUAUGUCUACAAGCAGUCGGAGCGAAAGCGACGGCGUGCCUAUUGAAGAAUGAACCAACGAGUUACGUGCACUAGCGAGGUUAAGUGGAAGACACGGAGCCGAAGCGAAAGCGAGUCUUAAGAGGGCGGAUAGUUAGUGUACGUAGACCCGAAACCGCAGUGAUCUACCCAUGUCCAGGUUGAAGCGCAGGUAAAAUUGCGUGGAGGACCGAACCUGUGAGCGUUGAAAAGCUUUAGGAUGAGAUGUGGGUAGAGGUGAAAUUCCAAUCGAACGCGGAGAUAGCUGGUUCUCCCCGAAAUAGCUUUAGGGCUAGCCUCAAGUAGUAAGUAUAGGCGGUAGAGCACUGAUCGGGCUAGGGGCCAUAAAGGUUACCGAACCCUGUCAAACUCCGAAUGGUUAUACUGUAGAGCUUGGGAGUCAGACUACGAGUGAUAAGAUCCGUGGUCAAAAGGGAAACAGCCCAGACCACCAGCUAAGGUCCCCAAUGUCGUACUAAGUGGAAAAGGAUGUGGGGUCUCUAAAACAACCAGGAUGUUGGCUUAGAAGCAGCCACCAUUUAAAGAGUGCGUAAUAGCUCACUGGUCGAGAGACCCUGCGCCGAAGAUUACCGGGGCUAAAGUACGAAACCGAAGCUGUGGCUACGACAUAUGUCGUGGGGUAGGGGAGCGUUCUGUGAGGGCUGAAGUCGUUCUGUAAGGAACGGUGGACUUCACAGAAGUGAGAAUGUUGGUAUGAGUAGCGAAAAGAAUGGUGAGAAUCCAUUCCACCGAAAGCAUAAGGAUUCCUGGGCAACGAUCGUCGUCCCAGGGUAAGUCGGGACCUAAUCCGAGGCAUGGAGCGUAGGAGAUGGACAACUGGCAGAUAUUCCAGUACCGGUAAUGAUUGUUUGAGCGAUGGAGUGACACAGGAGGGCAGGCAGGCAGGAGAUUGGUUGUUCCUGUACAAGCGUGUAGGAUGGGACGCAGGCAAAUCCGCGUCCUGUGAGUCUGAGGCGUGAUGUGGAGGUUCCGGAAACGGAACCGAAGCUGCUGACCCCACACUGUCGAGAAAAGCUUCUAGUUAGAGAAUUACCGCCCGUACCGUAAACCGACACAGGUAUGCGGGGAGAGAAUCCUAAGGUGCGCGGGAGAACCCUCGUUAAGGAACUCGGCAAAAUGUACCCGUAACUUCGGGAUAAGGGUAGCCGCUGUUGUGAAGUCUGAACAGACGGAGCAUGAGGCGGUCGCAGAGAAGAGGCCCAAGCGACUGUUUACCACAAACACAGGUGCCUGCUAAAGAGAAAUCUGACGUAUAGGUGCUGACACCUGCCCAGUGCCGGAAGGUUAAGGAAGGAUGUCCGGAGCAAUCCAAAGCAUUCGACCGAAGCCCCGGUGAACGGCGGCCGUAACUAUAACGGUCCUAAGGUAGCGAAAUUCCUUGUCGGGUAAG
rnacentral:rRNA from 1 species